rnacentral:tRNA from 1 species
GCCGGAGUGGCGAAACUGGUAGACGCAAGGGACUUAAAAUCCCUCGGGGCGCGAGUCCCAUCCGGGUUCGACCCCCGGCUCCGGCACCA